rnacentral:rRNA from 1 species
CGCGCAGGCGGUGAUGUAAGUCUGAGGUGAAAACCCGAAGCUCAACUUCGGGACUGCCUUGGAUACUGCGUCACUUGAGGAUAGGAGAGGCAAGGGGAAUUCCACGUGUAGCGGUGAAAUGUGUAGAGAUGUGGAGGAACACCUGUGGCGAAGGCGCCUUGCUGGCCUAUUUCUGACGCUGAGGCGCGAAAGCGUGGGGAGCAAACA